UACGAAGGGGGCUAGCGUUGCUCGGAAUCACUGGGCGUAAAGGGUGCGUAGGCGGGUUUUUAAGUCAGAGGUGAAAUCCUGGAGCUCAACUCCAGAACUGCCUUUGAUACUGAGGAUCUUGAGUAUGGGAGAGGUGAGUGGAACUGCGAGUGUAGAGGUGAAAUUCGUAGAUAUUCGCAAGAACACCAGUGGCGAAGGCGGCUCACUGGCCCAUUACUGACGCUGAGGCACGAAAGCGUGGGGAGCAAACAGG
rnacentral:rRNA from 1 species